GGCAAUAUGGCCGAGCGGUCUAAGGCGCUGGAAUCAGGUGUUAUUUGAAUUACCCCUUAUCCAGUCCGAAAGGGCGUGGGUUCGAAUCCCACUGUUGUCA